rnacentral:rRNA from 1 species
AUGCUCAACGGCGCGCUGACGGAGGCGCAGGGCGCGGCCAUCAGCAAGGCUGGGGAGCUCUCCGAGGCCAACAACUCCAUCAAAGACCUCAAGCUGAAGCUGGAGGGUCUCGAGGGGAUGCUGUCGGAGAGCAACGCUCGGGAGGAGACCCUGGCAGAUCUGGAGAAGGAGAAGCAGCUGCGGAAGAACGAGGCCGCCAACUACAAAGAUGUGGUGGACGGCCAUAACCGCUGGGUCGGCCGCCUCGAAGACGUCGCCGGCAGGAUCAACGCGCAGCUAGCCGCCAUGGGGAUGCCAAAUGUGAGGUACGACCCAGAGCGCAGCGGGACCACCAAUGCCAAGCUGACCUUGUUCUUCGAGGGCGUUCUCGGGGCCCUGGAGCAGUUCCAAUCCAACAGGGCGGCUUCUUUGGCCGACGAGAACCGAAAGCUUUGCCGGGGCGCCAUGACCAAGGUCCUCACCAAGGUGGCGUACUGGAACCCCACCCUUGAUUUUGACGCCGCGUUGGAGAGCUUGCCGGAGGGUACUGACCUCGCGCCGCUCAGGGUGCGUAUCAAGCCCAUCAUCAGCCUCAUCGAUGGAAUCCAAAGGGUGGAGGGCCAGCGCCGGGAUUAG